AGCGCAGGCGGCCAGGCAAGUCGGCUGUGAAAGCCCUCGGCUCAACCGAGGAAUUGCGGUCGAAACUGCUUGGCUUGAGUGCGGAAGAGGGUAGCGGAAUUCCCGGUGUAGAGGUGAAAUUCGUAGAUAUCGGGAGGAACACCAGUGGCGAAGGCGGCUACCUGGUCCGACACUGACGCUGAGGCUCGAAAGCGUGGGGAGCAAACA
rnacentral:rRNA from 1 species